AUUCUGUGCGAGGCCCAGGGGAAGCCACAUUGUAAAUCACCUUGUGAGGGCAAAAUGCAAAGAGGUGACCCUGCACAAGGACGGGCCCCUGGGGGAGACAGUCCUGGAGUGCUACAACUGCGGCUGUCGCAACGUCUUCCUCCUCGGCUUCAUCCCGGCCAAAGCUGACUCAGUGGUGGUGCUGCUGUGUAGGCAGCCCUGUGCCAGCCAGAGCAGCCUCAAGGACAUCAACUGGGACAGCUCGCAGUGGCAGCCGCUGAUCCAGGACCGCUGCUUCCUGUCCUGGCUGGUCAAGAUCCCCUCCGAGCAGGAGCAGCUGCGGGCACGCCAGAUCACGGCACAGCAGAUCAACAAGCUGGAGGAGCUGUGGAAGGCAGCCUUACCUGACCGAGAAGAUCCUGGCCUUGGGGAAAGGAAAGCUCUGGCUGCUGGAAUUUUUCUUGUCUUGCCGGGGAAAACCCUUCUGCCACGCUGGAGGACCUGGAGAAGCCGGGGGUGGAC
rnacentral:sRNA from 1 species